UCCGUUGACAAAAGCCCGUCUUAUGCAAUUUUCACCUGUUGUUCUUUUAGUGUCACACUAAGCGGUCUGCACAUUUACCCUGCUUUAGCUGUGAUCUAUUAUUUAGAGGCAAAAAUUAGCGCGAAUGCGCCAAGCUCAAAGAGAGCCGGCUCAACAUGGAAAGGAACCGAUCAGCGUCCCUUCGGCAAGAACGCAUCCCAGACGAGAGCUGGCGGCGAAAUGAAGUCAAGUUAAGCGAGAAAGAAAGAGCUAAAGAGGCUCGGGGGACGCUGAAUCGGAGCGACCUAAUUUGUCUGACGUCUGUGCGAAGACGCAACUUUAGCGUUUUGAUCGCACCUCCAGCCACUGAGCUAAGCGACUAAUCCUUGAUUUGCAGCUUUUUUUACGCCGAGAUGCAUGGCUAAGAGUUGUUUUUGUACUCAGAGAGACGGAAUGAGACCAGACAAGAUGAGUCCAGGUGGCAGCGUUACCGUAAAUGGCAUCCCGUCACAGCUUGGCUUUAAGUAGAGGUGGAGAAAGUACUCACACGCUGUACUUAAGAAAAACAAGUAGUAUGAUGGCUCUACUGAAAUAAAAGUAUAAAAGGCAGACACAAA